rnacentral:rRNA from 1 species
UACGUAGGGUGCGAGCGUUGUCCGGAAUUAUUGGGCGUAAAGAGCUUGUAGGCGGUUUGUCGCGUCUGCUGUGAAAAUCCGGGGCUCAACCCCGGACUUGCAGUGGGUACGGGCAGACUAGAGUCCGGAAGAGGAGAGUGGAAUUCCUGGUGUAGCGGUGAAAUGUGCAGAUAUCAGGAAGAACACCCGUGGCUAAGGCGGCUCUCUAGUACGGUACUGACGCUGAGACGCGAAAGCGUGGGGAGCGAACAGG